rnacentral:lncRNA from 1 species
ACGGCACCGAAAGCGAAGGAAGCUCCUGCUCCUCCUAAAGCCGAAGCCAAAGCGAAGGCUUUAAAGGCCAAGAAGGCAGUGUUGAAAGGUGUCCGCAGCCACACGCAAAAAAGAAGAUCCGCAUGUCACUCACCUUCAGGCGGCCCAAGACACUGCGACUCCGGAGGCAGCCCAGAUAUCCUCGGAAGAGCACCCCCAGGAGAAACAAGCUUGGCCACUAUGCUAUCAUCAAGUUUCCGCUGACCACUGAGUCGGCCGUGAAGAAGAUAGAAGAAAACAACACGCUUGUGUUCACUGUGGAUGUUAAAGCCAACAAGCACCAGAUCAGACAGGCUGUGAAGAAGCUCUAUGACAGUGAUGUGGCCAAGGUCACCACCCUGAUUUGUCCUGAUAAAGAGAAGAAGGCAUAUGUUCGACUUGCUCCUGAUUAUGAUGCUUUCGAUGUUGUAACAAAAUUGGGAUCACCUAA